rnacentral:rRNA from 1 species
UACGGAGGGUGCAAGCGUUGUCCGGAUUUAUUGGGUUUAAAGGGUGCGUAGGUGGUUUUGUAAGUCUGACCUGAAAGUGGGCCGCUUAACGGCACAGGGUGGUUGGAUACUGCAGAACUUGAAGAGGGUGGAGGCCGCCGGAACGGAUCGUGUAGCGGUGAAAUGCAUAGAGAUGAUCCAGAACCCGAUUGCGAAGGCAGGCGGCUACGCCCCACUUGACACUGAGGCACGAGAGCAUGGGGAGCAAACAGG